rnacentral:tRNA from 1 species
GAGGGUAUAGCUCAGUGGUAGAGUGUGUGCUUUGUAUGCACAAGUUCCUGGGUUCAAUCCCCAAUACCUUCA